GCUCCCGUGCUUCAAUGGAAUGGCAGCAGGGUUUUCACCCCUGUGAAUUGCGAGUUCAAUUCUCGUCGGGAGUAC
rnacentral:tRNA from 2 species